rnacentral:lncRNA from 1 species
CAUCAACAGAUUUCAUCACUGGAUCUCAGUGAGAAGGCUUGGUGCUGACAGUGCCUUUCCUUCCAGAAGGCCCUUGGCCUUCUGAUACAAAUUUUCCCAUCCCCCUGCCAGCAACCUUCAAACUCUGUAUAUCAUAAAUUUGCUGAAGGAGGAAUAGAAGAAGAAAAACUUACCAGGUUGGAAGCUCCCAGAGGAGAGAAACAGUGUCGUUUUAAUCCCUGCAUUGCCAGUAAUGCCCAGCACAGAGCCAGGCCAGGAAAGAUGCUCUCUAAAUGACUAUGUGCCUUGUUCCCCACAGUUGUAACUAGUUUGGAAUUCAGUUUCACAGCUCUUUGCUCAGAAAUACAGGUUUCUAGCAGAACUAUCC